CCCCUUUGCUCAUUUCCUUCACUCUCCAAUCCCUCACACUCUCCUCCUACCUCUCCCCACGAGCUGCUGCUCCUCCCAAGCUCCAUGGCCGGCCAUGGCCAUGGAAACCUCUCCAAGAUGCAACUCCCUCCUCCCUCAAGCUCCCCCUCACCAUGAGAGCAUCUCUCUCACUCUCUUCUCCCCUAAUCUUUGAUGAAUCCAGCUCCUUUUCUCUUCUCCCCUCUCACAAGAUUGGAUCUUGAUGCAGGUGCAUGUUGGUCCAAGCAUGGAGAAGGUUGAGCAAUCCUCAGAUCUGAAACUCUUGAGCAAAAUCCAAAUCGAGUGAUUCAAAGUUCCACAGUUAGAUAUGGAAAAGAUCUACAACUUGGCGUUGGUCUCAUCCUCAAAUUCGUUACGGAUUGUCCGUGAUCAAGAUCUGGUCAGAUCUGACUUUGUCGAAUUAAACCAGGAGCUUGGAGACGAAUUUUUGAAUGAAACCAAAUGGAUGCGAACAAUUCCGGAGAAGAAGAAGAAGUGGAAUCGGACGAGGAUUUUAUUUAUAUUGUGGGAUUCUUAUAUUGAUGGAGUUGAAGAAGUCCGGGGACAAAUAA